rnacentral:pre_miRNA from 1 species
ACAACAUUCGGAUUAUCGGUCGACCGAGCGAUAUCACUUCGGUGGAAGAUCUUCCCUCCGUCGU